GGGGGCAACUCUAAACUCAAGAGCUCACUACGAGAUACGUACUGUGAUCUGCAUGUGACUUUCGGGCGCCUGCGAGGCAUGUCCGUUCCACUUUCAUAGUCUGAAGACAGAAAAUAGAAAAUAAAAUAGCGUUAUGAUUGUAAGAGGCACGGGCUGACACGGCCAUCACGGCUCUAGAAGGAAAGUUCUCUUCUGGGGGAGAAGAAGGAGGCAUUUGUAACAUGCCAGUAGCCUACUUUCCUUCAGCUAGGAUAUGUAUGGAGGCAAAUGGGAACGAGCAGCCACCUUCAUUGGAAACGAAUUAGUUUGACGACUUCCAACAGCCCUGGUUGGUUCCCUAAAAAACAGACGCCUGAACUGUCUCUCGGCUCAGGACCGUCACUGUGCACUGAUGUCCACACCGGACCUGGGGAUAAACUGAUGACCCACUAUCCUGAAGUUGAACCAGAAUGGUUUCAACGUUCUCACUCAGCCCCGUCUUACGGAUGUUCCACUAGAUACUCGGGUGCACUGCGCUGAUUAGGUAUCACAGCGGCACACUACUGCGCAUUCAGCGGCAUUGUGCAACACCUUGGCCCUCACUCAGGAAUCGCCAGGCGCUCUGCUCUGAGCUCAGGGACUGUAGGGCAAGGUCGACACAUCUCUGCUACAGAUUCCAAACACCUGGUGGUUUCCACUGCAUUGAUGCAAGCCAUCUCGAGCUCAUUAAAUGACGAGCCUUAAAAUCCCUGGGCUCCAGAAGGCUACAGUCUAAGCCGAAGAUGAUUCUUCUCUGUGGACAAAAAGACAAAGAUGGCCCUUGGUUGCUGUCUAGUCUGCUGCUGUCCGCUGGUCCUCCUUGGUGGGGCUGGAUUUAUACCCGUCUUGGGGGGUCUCUCGCCGCCUCUCUGCCUUGGAGGUCUGUGUGCCAUCGGGGCUCACCUCCCCUCGGGGUCAGCUGGAGACUGCCAGGGUCACACAUUUCUGAUCUCCAAACCUCAAUUUAUAGCUGAAGGUUAUGACUUUCAAGAUUCUCAUGGUUUCCUGUUAAAUCGAGCUGAGUGUUGUUGAAGGCUAUGUGGGGCUUUUUUUUUUGUUUCUUCUCUAUUUUCUUUUUACAGUAAACCUGCCUUUGAUUUUUAUUUUUCAGUUCUUUUUUUAUCAAGGUAGACCUAUAGCUUUGUACAUCAGCUGAUUACACGUCCUUUAGGAAUGAAACAGUGUGUUCCAUAGAUCCUUUAAAGCAGUUUGUUUGCUUUGCUUUGCUCUUGUUUUCAGCUAAUUGGAUAUUAAACUCAUCAAUACAGUGACACAAACUGUUCCCCUACAAAUAAGUUUAGUGUUUUCUACUGAAUUUUUUCUGUGACUCUUAAAGUGUUCGUGUAAGAUUUCAAAUGCUGGAGCUACAAAAGCAGUAGUCUUCAAGUUUAUCACAAGACAGUAAUAAUCUUUAAAAAUGUUCCAGUCGAAUGGGGCAAUGACUGGAUUGUUACUUUCAAUCCCAGCUGCUUAACCUUUCCUGUUUUUAGAGACUAACUGUAGUGCAGGAACUCCGUAUGGGAAUUACCUCCCCUUCCUUACGUUUGCAUAAAAAAAAACAGCUGAAAAUGUAAACUCCUAAAGUUGGACUGCCACGGUUUCUAAUUCAACACAAUGGCAGCAACAAAUGUAUUUUCACACCAGGGUUACAAAUUCUUCAGCAGGGAGGACUUUUCUUUCAAAAGGAGAAUUACUCUUUAAUGUGUGAAUGAGGUGUGUUUUAUACAAAUACAGAGUACAGAGGUUAAGCUUUAAGCUUUUUACACUUCAUAUACAAAUACUCUAAGGGGAGACACUGUUGGUUUGUUAAAUGUAUGACUAAUUAAGAAUAUCUCACUGUUUCUAGUUACAUCAGAUUUUCUCCUACCUCUGUGUACCUCCAUUUUUAUUCUUGUGUUAUUUGCAAUGUUGUAAUCUCUUUUCACUUGUUAUUGUACAAAUAAAAAUCAUUGAGCAUCUUGCUACACUUCA